AAAGGAACAAAACAAAAAAGAUGAAGGUGAUUUUGUAUUAAAAAGAAAAAAUGCCAUAGAGGAGAAAGUCUUGCUUAACACAAGCUGUAUGUAGUCAGAUUUGCCUUCCUGGAAGUCACUUCAUCUGCUGGAGAGGUCUCCUGAUGCAAUUGACUCAGCUGAUGCUUUGAUGCUAUUCAAACUGUCUUCUGGUGUCAAGUCUACGUGGUUCCAGUUCAGCGGAGGUGGGAAUGCAAAUGGACAGCUGCUAACAAAUCUUCCUAAUUAAAAUUUGAGAGGGACUUGAACAGAAGGCUGCAGGCAUGGCAGAGUGCUUUCAGCAGUGACCUGUUACAUUGCCAGAGAUGAUAGCGUGAUGUUUGUUAAUUCGCUGUUGUGAUGCUUUAGGCAAAUGUAAUGGGUGGAGAGGCAAGAAAUCUAUUCAGUAAUGUCAUCCCCUCUAAAAAAGAUUAUAGGAAAAUGGUUUAUUAUCAUUGCUUACAAUCACUGCUUGCUGGUUUUCAAAAUACCAACAAUAUGUCAAACGCUUUCAGGAGACCUGUGAGAAACAGCUCUUUCCUCAGAUAAUUUACAGUCAUGGCAGGCUGUCAUCUGCUGGUGUGUAUGUGUAUUUUCCAGUUUUUAUUGCCCUUUUUCACAGAAAGGCAGAAAAGAAAAGCAUCAGAACAUUCUCUGUUGUCGAAUGAAGGGAAAAUAAACAGGAGAGGAGGACUGCAACAUGAGUGCGGAGUCAUGCUUUAUUUGGUUUGUUGAGGGGCAAGUUCAGAUGAUUAUCUAGAAUGUUGCAAAGCUUUUCCUGUCAGCUUUGAUACAUAAUGAGAAUUUAUUGGUA